GACGAACGCUGGCGGCGUGCCUAAUACAUGCAAGUUGAGCGCUGAAGGUUGGUACUUGUACCAACUGGAUGAGCAGCGAACGGGUGAGUAACGCGUGGGGAAUCUGCCUUUGAGCGGGGGACAACAUUUGGAAACGAAUGCUAAUACCGCAUAAAAACUUUAAACACAAGUUUUAAGUUUGAAAGAUGCAAUUGCAUCACUCAAAGAUGAUCCCGCGUUGUAUUAGCUAGUUGGUGAGGUAAAGGCUCACCAAGGCGAUGAUACAUAGCCGACCUGAGAGGGUGAUCGGCCACAAUGGGACUGAGACACGGCCCAAACUCCUACGGGAGGCAGCAGCAGGGAAUCUUCGGCAAUGGACGAAAGUCUGACCGAGCAACGCCGCGUGAGUGAAGAAGGUUUUCGGAUCGUAAAACUCUGUUGGUAGAGAAGAACGUUGGUGAGAGUGGAAAGCUCAUCAAGUGACGGUAACUACCCAGAAAGGGACGGCUAACUACGUG
rnacentral:rRNA from 1 species